GAUGGAACGCAGCGAAAUGCGAUACGUAAUGUGAAUUGCAGAAUUCAGUGAAUCAUCGAGUCUUUGAACGCACAUUGCGCCCCCUGGUAUUCCGGGGGGCAUGCCUGUCCGAGCGUCAUUGCUGCCCUCAAGCACGGCUUGUGUGUUGGGCCCCCGCCCCCCGGUUCCCGGGGGGCGGGCCCGAAAGGCAGCGGCGGCACCGCGUCCGGUCCUCGAGCGUAUGGGGCUUCGUCACCCGCUCCGUAGGCCCGGCCGGCGCCCGCCGGCGACCCCCCCUCAAUCUUUCCAGGUUGACCUCGGAUCAGGUAGGGAUCCCCGCUGAACUUAAGCAUAUCAAUAAGCGGAGG
rnacentral:misc_RNA from 1 species